CCACCCUACCCUUUGUUGAUUCACCAUGACACCCAUUCUCUCACAAAUCACAAUGAUCUACUGUCCGUUAAUGAUUUUACUUGGCUCACAAUGAUCUACGGUCCGUUCACGAUUUUACGACGACGAGCUUGUUUCUACAUCAACGUGUUCCCCGUUGUUUGUUCUCCUUUCGUUCGUUGCUCUAUUCUCUUCUAGAUUGAACAAGUAAGUUUCUGCUUCUCUCUAAACCCUAUUAUUAAUUUAAUAUUGUUAUAUGGUAAAAUCUAUAAAAAACGAUGGCCUUGAAUUUUUUUAUAUUUUUUAUUAUAUUAUACACAUGAAUGUAGUAUCAGAUCAUCUAAGGAUUUAGGAUCCCACUUAAACCUGUUACUUGAAAUUCUAAUAUAGGUUUUCAUCUAAGUGUCGUUGCUCUAAAUAUGCAGACUUGUUUUUUUAGUAAUAUUGAAUGUACAUAGUGGUAAUGAGUUUUAUUAUUAUAUUUAUUUGGCCUUAAAAACUAGACAGAUAUAGUGUAUUUCAAGCAGUAUUGUCAAACAUCGGCCGUGUGGUGCCAUGGCAGAUUUUGGAAAACCUAUUUGGCCAGUUUGUGAAGGAUGAGAUUGCUGCCAUUGGUAGUGAUGAGAUUGUUGAAAAUAGGUUGGGUACUUGUUCUGUCUCAGUUUCAGAUUCUAAAAGUACUAUAUUUGAAGAUAUUGAUAGGGUAGUAGCAGCAGGAGUAGGUCGUGAGCAGCAAUCUGCUAGCCAAUCUAGAUCUGAGGAGCCUCUUAGUGUAUCUUUUCCUGCUGAUUUAUCAGUUGAGACACCAUCAAUUUCCUUGUGGCCUGCUGAUUGAAAAUACAUCCCUACAACUUCUGCAACAGGGACUAGUGAAGGGGAUAUGAACACUAUGAAUACGACGGCAACAUCUAAGAGGAGUCUUGCUAGCAUGCCUGGUUCAUCACUUCAGCCAAUGGCGUCUCCAGUGCUAUGUAUGAUGUUUCUCCUUUUCAGAAAGGUACCCAAAACUUGGCAAAUUUAGAAGCUUCAACAAGACCAUAGAAGGUAAAAACUGAACAAGCAUCAUCAGAAACAUAACAAGCUAGCUUAUUAGCUGGAUAAUCAAGUGCCAAAAGAGACAAGACAGUGUUCAAUGUGAUCAUAGGUGGUUCUAGAACAGCAUCCGCUGUUGUCACAAACAAGUCCACACGUGGAAGCUCUUGUACUCUAGUAGAAUUAAAAAAACAACAAAUUAGACAAUACAUGUUAUGAUUACAAGGUGCAAAGAUUUAUAUAGAUUUUGUUUUUGAUUGCGUACUGUUGAAGGAGACGAUUGGGGUGUGUUAUGGUGACAGCAGGACUCCAUUUGGCGUUGAGAAUAACAAUCCAAGUGAAAGUGAACCAAGAUUCGCAUGAGAAAGCAAGGAACCAUGGAACUGUGAAGGUAUUGUUGAUGAUGGAGAAGAGACGAAAACAUAGAAGGGAGGAUAAGAGGAGUAGAAUCAAGAUGUCUAUUGAUCUUUGAAAAUUUCGUUUGAUCCAUAUUUUGUCGUAAAGUGGGAGGUUUUCUUGGUUUCCCAUA